ensembl:miRNA
CUCUCCAUGCCCUGCCUGCUGGGUGUAUGUGGGACAGCUCAGUGCCCCCACAGAGGGGGAGAGCAGCCCCACAACCCCCACUGGGCAGCGUGACCCAGCCACCAGCAACA